GGUGAACCCCAGAGCCCCAAACCCUAUACACAAUGGGGUACACAGGACUAAACAAGGAGAACUAUACCAUAUCUUGCAGACACUGGACAGGAGAACAGGAACAGGGACACAGACGGGAACCAGGUUCUCAGGGACAGGUGCCAGGAACAGGAACACAACAGGAACCAGACCUCAGGAACUUUGGUGACAGUCUGACCAUUGGAGUCAACAAGCCAGAAGGAAGAAGAGCACAGGAGAGGGGAACAUAUGAGCUGAACCAACUUAAGAAGCCUGAAAGAGCCCAGAGGCACAUCUGAGCCUUACCGAGGGGGAGCCAAUCCUGUAUUUAAACAUCUGUAAAAUUUCCUGUGAAUGGCAUCUCAAGUGGGUGGAGCUUCGUUUGUGGGCAGGGCUUUGAAGAGUUCAGCUUCACUUUUUUUUUUCCAAAUCAACCCCUGUUCUCAAUACAUCUUCUGUUUCUCUACAGAAGUGAUCACUCACCUUGUCAUGUCCUACUUCUCAAUCUGUGCUACAGCACCUGUGAAAAUGUGAUAGUCAAAGAGUUUAACUUAAAAAUCUAUUUGAUCAAUUACAUUGUGGAGACCCUAUAUUUCCAAAGCAAAUAUACUGAAAAAGCUCUUAGAUUCUCAGAUUGAAACAAAGGGGGUUGGGAUCUUUAAAUAUUAUGGACCAAAUUUUCAACAAUAGCCUCUCAAUGUAUGAACCCACAUUUUUUGAUUCUACUCUUAAUAAAUACCCACUAUGAUUCUACUCUUAAUAAAUA